AUAUGAUCAUAUAGAUCAUUGUACUGUUAUAUAAUUGCAACAAAUCUUGUACAAAGUGUGUCAAGUUAGGGGUCAAUGGAAAAGUUAUGAUUUGCUGAAUAUGCUUAUGCUAUUUCUAUGCAUGUAUUGUCUUGGUACCUGAAGUUACGAAUAUUAACUAUGUACCUGUAUUACUACAUGUUUGCUCCUGUGGUAACACCCACAAAAUAUUUAGCCAGCACACUGUGAAGGAACUAUUCAAGUUGAAUGGCCCAUCAAAGAACACUGAACUCACAGUGGACUGUGGAAGACUCCUAUCCAUGCCUGAUGGAUUUUCCUGUGAACGUUCUAACUAAAGUAUGGAAGCUAUAAAAGCCCUGGAAACAUCUCCACUGGAAUAUGGACUUACACUAACGGGAGCAUUCUAACCAAUGGACUGAGGACCUUCCAAUGAUUUGGAAGCAACCAGAGACUUAAUAAGCCAUCAAUUUAUUCCAUUGCUGCUAGAAGCCUGAUCCAAGAACUUUGCAGUUACUAUUAAAGAAAUAAACUGGGCAUGUUUGGGGAAGUCAUUCUUCACUAGCACUUCUGAGAUUUUGGAUGGUUUGGUAAAGGAUUCUUCUCCAGAGAAAUGUAAAUUUGCUCUCAUCAAGACCAAGGAUUUGGCAAGAACUCAGGUAAAAACAACAGGCACCCAGUAGUUGGUUUUCACCAUAGAGAUGAAAGCUGUUGUGAGUUAUGGUCCAAGUAAAACUAUGUUUAGAACACAACUCCCUAAUUCAGUGACAUUGAUUAGAGUCCCAAAGGAUGCAAUGGUAAGAUUGAAAUUGCCCUUUACCAUUUGAAUCCAAAGUUUUACGAGGCAGAGUGGAGGAUCAACUCUUUUUCUGAGGACAUUCCUUCCUCAUGGAUCCCAAUCUGGCUGCACUGUUGGACAAUAAGGACUUUCCUUCUGUGCAAGUGCUGGUAACCCAUUAGGGAAAUACUGUGUCAAGCUCCAGGUUCAGACUGCAAGAUAUAUGAAUGAUGAGUCCUGAUUCUAUGCUUUAGUCUCUUAGUUUUGGUCUUGUAUUUUAUGACUUUGCAUCAUGUCUCCAUCUCCAGCUACUUUGAAAGAUAAAAAGUGAGAAAAUAGAAUAGAGAUGGUUUUACUCAUGUUGCAAGCCUUCCCACGUAGUGUAAGACCCUUUCCACCUACACUUAUGGCAGAAAACCCACAGAUAAAUUAACUUCCAGAAAUGGAAGGCACCUAUAUGGGUGUAAACCACAAGUUUACAGAAGGGUUCAUUUGAUGGAAAUGGGUGUUAAAUGGAAUUAAAGGAAAGUACCAUAUAUUAUAAGAUUUUGUAAUCUUUGAUUAUGUUAUUGUUACCAGUGACAAUGAAAUUAAACAUGAAGUUCAUUAUUUUAACGAACAAGAGACUAA